rnacentral:rRNA from 1 species
CUGACCUCAGAUCAGGCAAGACUACCCGCUGAGUUUAAAGCAUAUCA